rnacentral:antisense_RNA from 1 species
AUAGGGGCUUCCGAGGCGGCGACGUUUUGGGGCCUCUUUCCUUUUGC